AUAGAGAAAGCUUGCUUUUCUAGGCGUCGACCGGCGCGACGGGUGAGUAACGCGUAUCCAACCUGCCCAUCACUUGGGGAUAACCUUGCGAAAGUAAGACUAAUACCCAAUGACGUCUCUAGAAGACAUCUGAAGGAGAUUAAAGAUUUAUCGGUGAUGGAUGGGGAUGCGUCUGAUUAGCUUGUUGGCGGGUAACGGCCCACCAAGGCGACGAUCAGUAGGGGUUCUGAGAGGAAGGCCCCCCACAUUGGAACUGAGACACGGUCCAAAACUCCUACGGGAGGCAGCAGUGAGGAAUAUUGGUCAAUGGACGAGAGUCUGAACCAGCCAAGUAGCGUGAAGGAUGAAGGUCCUACGGAUUGUAAACUUCUUUUAUAAGGGAAUAAACCCUCCCACGUGUGGGAGCUUGUAUGUACCUUAUGAAUAAGCAUCGGCUAACUCCGUG
rnacentral:rRNA from 1 species